rnacentral:rRNA from 1 species
AUUGAACGCUGGCGGAAUGCUUUACACAUGCAAGUCGAACGGUAGAGGGGGCAACCCCUCGAGAGUGGCGAACGGGUGAGUAAUAUAUCGGAACGUGCCCAGUCGGGGGGGAUAACGUAGCGAAAGUUACGCUAAUACCGCAACCGAUGUAAGGGAGCAAGCGGGGGAUCGCAAGACAUCGCACGAUUGGAGCGGCCGAUAUCAGCUUAGGUAGUUGGUGGGGUAAAGGCUCACCAAGCCAACGAUCUGUAGCUGGUCUGAGAGGACGACCAGCCACACUGGAACUGAGACACGGUCCAGACUCCUACGGGAGGCAGCAGUGGGGAAUUUUGGACAAUGGACGCAAGUCUGAUCCAGCCAUUCCGCGUGCAGGAUGAAGGCCCUCGGGUUGUAAACUGCUUUUGUACGGAACGAAAAGGUCUCUCUUAAUACGGGGGACUCAUGACGGUACCGUAAGAAUAAGCACCGGCUAACUACGUGCCAGCCGCCGCCGUAA